rnacentral:rRNA from 1 species
CACGUAGGGCGCAAGCGUUGUCCGGAAUUAUUGGGCGUAAAGAGCUCGUAGGCGGUCCGUCACGUCCGCUGUGAAAACCCAGGGCUCAACCCUGGGCUUGCAGUGGAUACGGGCAGACUAGAGGUAGGUAGGGGAGAAUGGAAUUCCCGGUGUAGCGGUGAAAUGCGCAGAUAUCAGGAGGAACACCGGUGGUGUAGACGGCUUUCUGGACCGUAACUGACGCUGAGACACGAAAGCGUGGGUAGCAAACAGG